rnacentral:sRNA from 1 species
GGCGGCUCGCUCGCCUCAGCCCCAGCGCCUCUCGGCUACCCUCGGCCCAGGCCCGCAGCGCCGCCCGCCCUUGGCCGCCCCGACGCCGGCCUGGGCCGCGGCCGCAGCCCAGGGCUCGCGUAGGCGCCGACCGCUCCCGGCCCGCCCCCUAUGGGCCCCGGCUAGAGGCGCCGCCGCCGCCGGCCCGCGGAGCCCCGAUGCUGGCCCGGAGGAAGCCGGUGCUGCCGGCGCUCACCAUCAACCCUACCAUCGCCGAGGGCCCGUCCCCUACCAGCGAGGGCGCCUCCGAGGCAAACCUGGUGGACCUGCAGAAGAAGCUGGAGGAGCUAGAACUUGACGAGCAGCAGAAGAAGCGACUGGAAGCCUUUCUCACCCAGAAAGCCAAGGUCGGCGAACUCAAAGACGAUGACUUCGAAAGGAUCUCAGAGCUGGGCGCGGGCAACGGCGGGGUGGUCACCAAAGUCCAGCACAGACCCUCAGGCCUCAUCAUGGCCAGGAAGCUGAUCCACCUUGAGAUCAAGCCGGCCAUCCGGAACCAGAUCAUCCGCGAGCUGCAGGUCCUGCACGAGUGCAACUCGCCGUACAUCGUGGGCUUCUACGGGGCCUUCUACAGCGAUGGGGAGAUCAGCAUCUGCAUGGAGCACAUGAAGAGACGCACGCCAGACGGUGGCAGUGGGAACUCGGCCCGUCACCCCUACUGUCCUGGGGGUGGCCUGGCAGGAUGGCGGCUCCCUGGACCAGGUGCUGAAAGAGGCCAAGAGGAUUCCCGAGGAGAUCCUGGGGAAAGUCAGCAUCGCGGUUCUCCGGGGCUUGGCGUACCUCCGAGAGAAGCACCAGAUCAUGCACCGAGAUGUGAAGCCCUCCAACAUCCUCGUGAACUCUAGAGGGGAGAUCAAGCUGUGUGACUUUGGGGUGAGCGGCCA